UACGAAGGGGGGCUAGCGUUGCUCGGAAUGACUGGGCGUAAAGGGCGCGUAGGCGGUUUGUACAGUCAGGUGUGAAAUUCCCGGGCUCAACCUGGGGGCUGCACUUGAUACGUAUGGACUGGAGUGGGGAAGAGGGUCGUGGAAUUCCCAGUGUAGAGGUGAAAUUCGUAGAUAUUGGGAAGAACACCGGUGGCGAAGGCGGCGACCUGGUCCUUGACUGACGCUGAGGCGCGAAAGCUAGGGGAGCAAACGGG
rnacentral:rRNA from 1 species